AUACUUCCUGAUUCCUGGAACCUCCUAGAAGUGUCAAGUGCCCUGGGGGUGUGGCAGCAGAACCCGGGACACUCCUGGCUUCCAGAACCUGAUAGGAAAUUUGAUUCCAGUUUCUGGUGAUCACAGGAUCGUGUGCAUAUGAACUUCAAAAUGAUAUUUAAGAAACUCCACUAAAACCAACAAAUGAAUUUAUAUGGCCUCACACUGCAGUCAAUAAUUUUUCUAUAUAUCAAUAACAAAAAUCUGGAAAAAAUAACUUUAGCAAAAUGUCUUUACAGUAGCACCCUCAAAACUUCAAAAUGUCUUUACAGUAGCACCCUCAAAACUUCAAAAUGUCUUUACAGUAGCACCCUCAAAACUUCAAAAUAAGUUUGACAACAUACCUAUGAAAACUGGGUAUCCCAAACAGUGAAGCCUUUUUUGUAAAGAAUCAGAGGAGACUCAUACAAAUGGAGAACAGUAUGGUCACAGACCAGGAGACAUCUUGAGAGAUAUCUGUCUUCUCCAAAUUGAGCACUGGAUACAACACAAACAAAGUGGAAGUUCUGUUCAAACUGACAAGUUUAGAAUUUAUCUGGAAGUGCAAUCAAAGCAAUUCAUGGAACGGGAGCAGUCUUAUGAGUGAACUUUCCAGGCUGAAACAAGGCCAUAGAGGCCCUCAGGAGAGAGAGGUUCCGGAGAAAGCAACACAGUAUCUAAUGAAGGCGCUGUAAGGAGAGCAGCAGUCAAGGCUGAUGCAGUGAAGAGCAUGUGGGAACCUUAACUCCGGCCAGGGUGGGGGAUGGGUCCAAGGACAGGAAUGUAAACACUGUAUCCAACUGUGAAUAAUUAUUUACAUGGUCAUUAUAACAAAAACAUUGAAGCAAAAA
rnacentral:lncRNA from 1 species